UACCGUGAAAAAAUUAGAGUGUUCAAAGCGGGCAGAUAUUUUUCCUGCCACCGAAUACAUUAGCAUGGGAUAAUGGAAUAGGACCCUGACCUCCUAUUUUCAGUUGGUUUUGUUUACAGCGAGGUUAUAUCAGGGUAAUGAUUAAUAGGGAUAGUUGGGGGCAUUAAUAUUUAAUUGUCAGAGGUGAAAUUCUUGGAUUUAUGAAAGAUUAACUUCUGCGAAAGCGUUUGCCAAGGAUGUUUUCAUUAAUCAAGAACGAAAGUUAGGGGAUCGAAGACGAUCAGAUACCGUCGUAGUCUUAACCAUAAACGAUGCCGACCAGCGAUUAGGAGACGUUGAAUACAAAACACCGCCGUUAAUCCUUUCGGGGGUUAAUGGUUGGUGAAUGACUCCCCUAGCAGCUUGUGA
rnacentral:rRNA from 1 species